GGGGAUUAAAUAAUUCUGUGGGUAAAUUUAAAGUUGAACUAAGAUUCUGUCUUGGACAACUAGUUAUCACCAGGCUCCGUAGGUUUGAGAUCGGUAGAGC